CGCCUCUUGCAACUAUAAGAGGUCCAGCCUGCCCAGUGACCCACGUUCAACGGCCGCGGUACCCUAACCACGCGAAGGUAGCGUAAUCAAUUGUCUCUUAAAUGGGGACUUGUAUGAAUGGCAUCACGAGGAUUUAACUGUCUCCCCUCUCUAAUCUGUGAAACUAAUCUUCCUGUGAAAAAGCAGGACUUCCCCUAUAAGACGAGAAGACCCUGUGGAACUUUAAACGAGUAACAAUUGCCCCUCCCUUCCCUCCCCGGAAUCUCCUUCCCCCGCAUUCUAACUACAAGUUUUCAGUUGGGGCGACUAUGGAGAAAAACCAAUCCUCCAUGAUGUAACCUUAAAUUUAAGAGCCACAAUCCACAGCUUUACGCACCAGCAAACUGACAUUCAUUGACCCAUACCUUUGAUCAACGAACCAAGCUACCCCAGGGAUAACAGCGCAAUCCACUUUGAAAGCACAUAUCGACAAGUGGGCUUACGACCUCGAUGUUGGAUCAGGGUACCCCAGUGGUGCAGCCGCUACUAAAGGUUCGUUUGUUCAACGAUUAAAACCC
rnacentral:rRNA from 1 species